UUAACCUUCGGGAGGGCGCUUGCCACGGUGUGGCCGAUGACUGGGGUGAAGUCGUAACAAGGUAGCCGUAUCGGAAGGUGCGGCUGGAUCACCUCCUUUUGAGC
rnacentral:rRNA from 1 species